GCUGGGCGUGGUGGCACACGCCUGUAAUCCCAGCGGCUGGGGAGGCUGAGGCAGGAGGAUUGCAAGUUGAAGGCCAGCCUCAG
rnacentral:sRNA from 1 species